AGUGAACGCUGGCGGUAGGCCUAACACAUGCAAGUCGAACGGCAGCACAGAGGAGCUUGCUCCUUGGGUGGCGAGUGGCGGACGGGUGAGGAAUACAUCGGAAUCUACUCUGUCGUGGGGGAUAACGUAGGGAAACUUACGCUAAUACCGCAUACGACCUACGGGUGAAAGCACGGGACCUUCGGGCCUUGCGCGAUUGAAUGAGCCGAUGUCGGAUUAGCUAGUUGGCGGGGUAAAGGCCCACCAAGGCGACGAUCCGUAGCUGGUCUGAGAGGAUGAUCAGCCACACUGGAACUGAGACACGGUCCAGACUCCUACGGGAGGCAGCAGUGGGGAAUAUUGGACAAUGGGCGCAAGCCUGAUCCAGCCAUACCGCGUGGGUGAAGAAGGCCUUCGGGUUGUAAAGCCCUUUUGUUGGGAAAGAAAUCCAGCUGGCUAAUACCCGGUUGGGAUGACGGUACCCGAAGAAUAAGCACCGGCUAACUUCGUGCCAGCCGCCGCAGUAA
rnacentral:rRNA from 1 species